AACUGGGCAUUAUUAUAUCGUUCGUGCUGAGAAAGAAAGGAAGACAGAGUGGGAGUGGCUCUCGUUCCCAGUACCCCUCUUUCCUCUCCGCCUCCGCCUCCGCCUCCGCCUCCGAUCUCUGGGGCUUCCCAGCAUUCGAUCUCGUCGAUCAUGUCCGCAGAGAAGGGUCAACCAUUGCCCAAGUUUGGAGAGUGGGAUGUCAACAAUCCUGCCUCGGCUGAAGGUUUCACUGUUAUAUUUAACAAAGUUCGAGAUGAGAAGAAGACAGGUGGUAACUCGGGCACUCCGACAACACCAACGAGAAAAGAUGUAGGUAGUCUGCCACCAGAUGACACCUACCAGCAUCCGAGAAAAACUCGGAAGUGGUUUUGCUGUGGUUGAAUGCUGCUACUGGAAUGAUUAGUACUUGGUAAUCAUAGUUUGGGUUGUGAGGAUAAAGAAAGUUUGGUUUAAUGAUCAGAUCCUGUCAUAUGAAUAUUAUGGUAUCCGAUGGAUGAUCCAUCUGUAUCAAUAUUAUUUCGACAAAAAAAAGACAAUACAUGGAUGGAUAAUUAUUUUUCUUUCA